rnacentral:rRNA from 1 species
CAGCCGCCGCGGGAAUACGGAGGGUGCAAGCGUUAAUCGGAAUUACUGGGCGUAAAGCGCACGCAGGCGGUCUGUCAAGUCGGAUGUGAAAUCCCCGGGCUCAACCUGGGAACUGCAUUCGAAACUGGCAGGCUAGAGUCUUGUAGAGGGGGGUAGAAUUCCAGGUGUAGCGGUGAAAUGCGUAGAGAUCUGGAGGAAUACCGGUGGCGAAGGCGGCCCCCUGGACAAAGACUGACGCUCAGGUGCGAAAGCGUGGGGAGCAAACAGGAUUAGAUACCCCAGUAGUCCCUGUCUCUUAUAA